UCCGCUUCCCGGGUUCAAGCGAUUCUCCUGC
rnacentral:piRNA from 1 species